UUAGGAAUUUUGCGCAAUGGGGGAAACCCUGACGCAGCAACGCCGCGUGGAGGAUGAAGGCCUUCGGGUUGUAAACUCCUUUCGGAGGGGAAAAACAAAAUGAUGGUACCCUAAGAAGAAGCACCGGCAAACUACGUGCCAGCAGCCGCGGUAAUACGUAGGGUGCAAGCGUUACUCGGAAUCAUUGGGCGUAAAGCGCGUGUAGGUGGCUAUGUAAGUCUGAUGUGAAAGCCCUGGACUCAAUCCAGGAAGUGCAUUGGAUACUGCAUUGCUAGAGUAUAGGAGAGGUGGACGGAAUUCCUGGUGUAGAGGUGAAAUUCGUAGAUAUCAGGAGGAACAACAGAGGCGAAGGCGGUUCACUGGACUAUAACUGACACUCAGACGCGAAAGUGUGGGGAGCAAACAGG
rnacentral:rRNA from 1 species